AUUGAACGCUGGCGGCAGGCCAAACACAUGCAAGUCGAACGAGUGGCGGACGGGUGAGUAAUGUCAGGGAAACUGCCUGAUGGAGGGGGAUAACUACAGGAAACGGUAGCUCAUACCGCAUACCAUCGGAUGUGCCCAAAUGGGAUUAUCGAGUAGGUGGGGUAAAGGCUCACCUAGGCGACGAUCCCUCGCUGGGCUGAGAGGAUGACCAUCCACACUGGAACUGAGACACUGUCCAGAAUCCGACGGGAGGCAGCAGUUGGGAAUAUUGCACAAUGGGCGCAAGCCUGAUGCAGCCAUGCCGCGUGUAUGAAGAAGGCCUUCGGGUUGUAAAGUACUUUCAGCGGGGAGGCGUUACCCGCAGAAGAAGCACCGGCUAACUCCGUGCCAGCCGCCGCGGUAAUAC
rnacentral:rRNA from 1 species